rnacentral:misc_RNA from 1 species
GAUGAAGAACGUAGCGAAAUGCGAUACGUAAUGUGAAUUGCAAAUUCAGUGAAUCAUCGAGUCUUUGAACGCACAUUGCGCCCCCUGGUAUUCCGGGGGGCAUGCCUGUCCGAGCGUCAUUGCUGCCCUCAAGCACGGCUUGUGUGUUGGGCCCCGUCCUCCGAUCCCGGGGGACGGGCCCGAAAGGCAGCGGCGGCACCGCGUCCGGUCCUCGAGCGUAUGGGGCUUUGUUACCCGCUCUGUAGGCCCGGCCGGCGCUUGCCGAUCAACCCAAAUUUUUUAUCCAGGUUGACCUCGGAUCAGGUAGGGAUACCCGCUGAACUUAAGCAUAUCAAUAAGCGGAGGA